GAUACGACCGUACCGCAAACCGACACUGGUGCGCGAGAUGAGUAUUCUAAGGCGCUUGAGAGAACUCAGGAGAAGGAACUCGGCAAAUUGACACCGUAACUUCGGAAGAAGGUGUGCCCUAUUAGUGUGAAGUGAACAACGGAGCAUGAAUGGGUUGCAAAAAAUCGGUGGCUGCGACUGUUUAUUAAAAACACAGCACUCUGCAAACACGAAAGUGGACGUAUAGGGUGUGACGCCUGCCCGGUGCUGGAAGAUUAAAUGAUGGGGUGCAAGCUCUUGAUUGAAGUCCCAGUAAACGGCGGCCGUAACAAUAACGGUCCUAAGGUAGCGAAAUUCCUUGUUGGGUAAGUUCCGACCUGCACGAAUGGCGUAACGAUGGCCACACUGUCUCCUCCUGAGACUCAGCGAAGUUGAAAUGUUUGUGAUGAUGCAAUCUCCCCGCGGAAAGACGGAAAGACCCCAUGAACCUUUACUGUAGCUUUGUAUUGGACUUUGAACAGAUCUGUGUAGGAUAGGUGGGAGGCUUUGAAGCAGGGUCGCUAGAUCUUGUGGAGCCAACGUUGAAAUACCACCCUGGUGUGUUUGAGGUUCUAACCUAGGUCCAUUAUCUGGAUCGGGGACAGUGCAUGGUAGGCAGUUUGACUGGGGCGGUCUCCUCCCAAAGCGUAACGGAGGAGUUCGAAGGUACGCUAGUUACGGUCGGACAUCGUGACGAUAGUGCAAUGGCAUAAGCGUGCUUAACUGCGAGACUGACAAGUCGAGCAGAUGCGAAAGCAGGACAUAGUGAUCCGGUGGUUCUGUAUGGAAGGGCCAUCGCUCAACGGAUAAAAGGUACUCUGGGGAUAACAUGCUGAUACCGCCCAAGAGUUCAUAUCGACGGCGGUGUUUGGCACCUCGAUGUCGGCUCAUCUCAUCCUGGGGCUGUAGCCGGUCCCAAGGGUAUGGCUGUUCGCCAUUUAAAGAGGUACGUGAGCUGGGUUUAAAACGUCGUGAGACAGUUUGGUCCCUAUCUUCCGUGGGCGCUGCAGAUUUGAGGAAGCCUGCUCCUAGUACGAGAGGACCGGAGUGGACACACCUCUGGUGUAUCGGUUGUCACGCCAGUGGCAUUGCCGAGUAGCUAAGUGUGGAAGAGAUAACCGCUGAAAGCAUCUAAGCGGGAAACUCGUUUCAAGAUGAGAUCUGCCGGGGCCUUGAGCCCCCUGAAGAGUCGUUCAAGACCAGGACGUUGAUAGGUCUGGUGUGGAAGCGCAGUAAUGCGUUAAGCUAACUGAUACUAAUUGCUCGUGCGGCUUGACCA
rnacentral:rRNA from 1 species